GAGGGUGUAGCUCAGUGGUAGGACACGUGCCUAACAUGCACAAAGUCCUGGGUUCAAUCCCCAGCACCUCCA
rnacentral:tRNA from 1 species